rnacentral:rRNA from 1 species
CCUACGGGUGGCAGCAGUAGGGAAUCUUCCACAAUGGACGAAAGUCUGAUGGAGCAACGCCGCGUGAGUGAAGAAGGGUUUCGGCUCGUAAAGCUCUGUUGGUAGUGAAGAAAGAUAGAGGUAGUAACUGGCCUUUAUUUGACGGUAAUUACCUAGAAAGUCACGGCUAACUACGUGCCAGCAGCCGCGGUAAUAGGUAGGUGGCAAGCGUUGUCCGGAUUUUUUGGGCGUAAAGCGAGUGCAGGCGGUUCAAUAAGUCUGAUGUGAAAGCCUUCGGCUCAACCGGAGAAUUGCAUCAGAAACUGUUGGACUUGAGUGCAGAAGAGGAGAGUGGAACUCCAGGUGUAGCGGUGGAAUGCGUAGAUAUAUGGAAGAACACCAGUGGCGAAGGCGGCUCUCUGGUCUGCAACUGACGUUGAGGCACGAAAGCGUUGGGAGCAAACAGGAUUAGAUACCCCGGUAGUC